AUAACCUAGAGCAAGCACUGAAGAUGCUCUGGGUGCAACACCACCCCCCAAGAUUCCUUUGGCUGGAGUCAGCCUUCCAUCUGGAAGGGCGCGCCUGGUGCCGUGGCAUUAGGGCUGUGAGCCCUGCAGGGCCUCUCCACAUCCUAACCAACUGGAGUCUGUUUCCAUUAAAAUGAAGUAAUAAAAAUAACACGAAAGCCUUUCUAUUUAUAGAUGGUUUCAUAGACACUUUUAAAAAUACAACCUGAAUUUGGCUCCAGUAACUUGGCGUUGGUUAUUUUAGGUUCUACGUGGAUUUUAUUUUUAGUGGUGCAGAAUGAUUUCUAAAGCAUUCAGCUGGAAUAACAGAAGAAGGCAACAGAUGGUUUUGGGAAACAUCAGGCUCCUUACUUUGCAGAGAAUGGCUGCAAGGAAAUGGAAGUUUCUCUUCAGCUGUGAUACUCAUUCUCUUAGAGGAUCCUUGGCAUUUAUGGCAGAACUUGUUUACUCUUCAGGUAAGCAGCUCUCCAAGUUUCAGCUCAUUUCAUUGCUCUUCAUUUUCAUCUCCGUUUUAUUUCAUUGCGCUGCUUUCUCGGGAUGAGUCCUUGGCAGGGGGGAAGUCUCCUCUCUGUAGUGGAAAGGGUCAGUGCGGUUCCUGGAUUGGCCCACCCAAGUGUGGGACAGAUGCUCCCACUUGGACUGUAUGUCAUCUUGAGUAGGUCAGUCAGCCUCCUGUGCCUCAGCUGAGGAUGAAUGUUAGCACCUUUCUCUUAGGUUCAUCGUGUUGACUAGCUGGGGGCUGGCGUUCUAAAGCCCUUCAAACAGUCCCAGACACACAGUCAGUUCUGCUUCUCUAGCAGCCUCCAUCAUCAUGGUUACCACCACCACACGCCAUCCGACCCUCGUUAUGCCAGCCUCCCUGGCCUGGGACCCGAGGUCAUGGUAGAACAUCUGAUGAGUAAUGCUUAAGUUCUUGGCAUCUUUAACCAAGACAGAGGUCAGUAAUGAAAAGUAAAAGUAUUCGAUAAAACAGAUGAAUCCACCCAUCAUUUUCGAGUGUUGAAAUGUGUUUAUCAGAACAACUUUAACAGUAAAUCAGGUCAAGAGCGUGAUUCAGCACAACGGUCAGCAAACUAUGGCCCGUGGGUCAAAUCCAGCUGUCGCCUGUUUUUAUAGAACCCAUGAAC
rnacentral:lncRNA from 1 species